rnacentral:rRNA from 1 species
GACGAACGCUGGCGGCAUGCCUAAUACAUGCAAGUUGAACGAUGAUAUUCUCUGCUUGCAGAGAAUUGAAGAGUAGCGAACGGGUGAGUAACACGUGGGGAACCUGCCCAUGAGAGGGGGAUAACAUUCGGAAACGGAUGCUAAUACCGCAUAAUGCUUUGGACCGCCUGGUCCAGAGACGAAAGACGGCUUUUGCUGUCACUCAUGGAUGGCCCCGCGCCGUAUUAGCUAGUUGGUGAGGUAAUGGCUCACCAAAGCUGUGAUACGUAGCCGACCUGAGAGGGUGAUCGGCCACACUGGGACUGAGACACGGCCCAGACUCCUACAGGAGGCAGCAGUAGGGAAUCCUCCACAAUGGGCGAAAGCCUGAUGGAGCAAUGCCGCGUGAAUGAAGAAGGUCUUCGGAUCGUAAAGUUCUGUUAUUAGAGAAGAACAAGUCAAGGAGUAACUGUCUUGACUUUGACGGUACCUAACCAGAAAGUCACGGCUAACUACGUG